AGUUAAUGCAACUUAAUUAAGUAGUGAUAACCACAUAUAUCACAAGGUUUACCAUUUUGAUAGGAUGUCCUAGAGUUUUGAAUAUGAGAUCUGAAUAUUUGCACAAGGAAAAGGAUCCAUCAGUCAACAAAACCAAAAAUAGAAUUAAACUCCCAAACUGAAUUUGAAAAUGCAUCUAAGUUAUAAUUUAUAAAAACUCAUGCAAACAUUUG
rnacentral:misc_RNA from 1 species